UUUAAUUGUUAAUUUAAUAAAGUUUAAAUGUACCUUUUGCAUCAUGAUUAAAUGAUUAUUACUCUCAUAAAGAGUUAGUUCGAAAUUGUAUGAUCUUUUACAAUAAAAAAUAAUGCUUGGGUAAUGCAUUAGUUAAAUUUUGUUAAAAGAAGUGAUAAGUUACACGUAUACAAUUAUAUCUAAUUAGAGUUAUUGCUAAGUAUAAGUAUGUUAUUAUACUUAUAUAGAUUAUUUGGUAUUUUUAUAUUAUUAGUAUCAUGGAUUAAUAUUAUCCUAAAUUUUGUUAAUAAAUAGUUUAUUAAUAUUACACCAAUUUUAUAGUUACUCUUAAUAAAAUCAGUUUAUUUAAAUUAUGUUAUAAAUAAGUAUAUAAAUAAAUAUGUUCUUUCUCGUUAUAGUCCGAACUGUUUAUUAAAAACAUUUCCUACUAUAAACCAUAGUAGGUAUCCCCUGCUCAUCGUUAAUAAUUUAAUUUAUUAACAAGAAGCCGCAGUAUCUUGACUGUGCUAAGGUAGCAUAAUUAAUUGCCUUUUAAAUAAAGGAUUGUCUGAAUGGGGGUAGUUGGGCUUAAUUUAAGAUCAUUUUUAAUAGAAAUUAAUUUGUAGUUGCAGAAUACUACUUGAUUAUAUAAGACGGAAAGACCCUAAGAGCUUAAUUUUUUUUAUUUUGGGCAAAGCUAAUAAUUUAUUUAGUUUAUAAUCCUAUUAGGAUAAAAUCAAAGUUACCUUAGGGAUAACAGGGUUAGAUGUAUUUAGAGUUCUUAUCAAUAUACAUAAUUGCCACCUCGAUGUUGACUUAAAUUUACUUUAUUGUGUAGAAGCUUUAAAAGUAAGCCUGUUCGGCUUUUAAAAUUUUUCAUGAGUUGAGUUAAGACCGGUGUAAGCCAGGUCGGUUCUUAUCUAUAAUUGGUCUGCUAUAGUACGAAAGGAUUUAGUAGUAAAUAAUUUAUUUAAGUUUAUUUAGA
rnacentral:rRNA from 1 species